GAUGAACGCUGGCGGCGUGCCUAAUACAUGCAAGUCGAGCGAACAGACGAGGAUUUUGCUCCUUUGACGUUAGCGGCGGACGGGUGAGUAACAUGUGGAUAACCUACUUAUAAGACUGGGAUAACUUCGGGAAUCCGGAGCUUAUACCGGAUAACAUGUUGAUCCGCAUGGUUCAAUAGUGAAAGACGGUUUUGCUGUCUCUUCUAGAUGGUUCUGAGCCGGAUUAGCUAGUUGGUAAGGUAACGGCUUACCAAGGCAACGAUGCGUAUCCGACGGGUGAGGGUGAUCGGCCACACGGGAACUGGAACACGGUCCAGACUCCUACGGGAGGGAGCAGUAGGGAAUCUUCCGCAGUAGGCGAGAACCUUGCGGAGCAACGCCACGUGAGUUAAAAAAGUCUUCGGAUCGUAAAACUCUGUUAUUAGGGAAGAACAAAUGUGUAAGUAACUGUGCACGUCUUGACGGUACCGGGUCAAAAAGCCACGGCUAACUACGUG
rnacentral:rRNA from 1 species